rnacentral:rRNA from 1 species
AUUGAACGCUGGCGGCAGGCCUAACACAUGCAAGUCGAGCGGAUGAAGGGAGCUUGCUCCUGGAUUCAGCGGCGGACGGGUGAGUAAUGCCUAGGAAUCUGCCUGGUAGUGGGGGAUAACGUCCGGAAACGGGCGCUAAUACCGCAUACGUCCUGAGGGAGAAAGUGGGGGAUCUUCGGACCUCACGCUAUCAGAUGAGCCUAGGUCGGAUUAGCUAGUUGGUGGGGUAAAGGCCUACCAAGGCGACGAUCCGUAACUGGUCUGAGAGGAUGAUCAGUCACACUGGAACUGAGACACGGUCCAGACUCCUACGGGAGGCAGCAGUGGGGAAUAUUGGACAAUAGGCGAAAGCCUGAUCCAGCCAUGCCGCGUGUGUGAAGAAGGUCUUCGGAUUGUAAAGCACUUUAAGUCGGGAGGAAGGGCAGUAAGUUAAUACCUUGCUGUUUUGACGUUACCAACAGAAUAAGCACCGGCUAACUUCGUG